UACGGAGGGGACUAGCGUUGUUCGGAAUUACUGGGCGUAAAGCGCACGUAGGCGAUUUGUUAGUCAGGGGUGAAAUCCCGAGGCUCAACCUCGGAACUGCCUUUGAUACUGCAAAUCUCGAGUCCGGAAGAGGUGAGUGGAAUUCCUAGUGUAGAGGUGAAAUUCGUAGAUAUUAGGAAGAACACCAGUGGCGAAGGCGGCUCACUGGUCCGGUACUGACGCUGAGGUGCGAAAGCGUGGGGAGCAAACAGG
rnacentral:rRNA from 1 species